rfam:Heligmosomoides polygyrus genome assembly, scaffold: HPBE_scaffold0005372
GCGCCGGUGGUGUAAAGCGUAGCAUCGUCGCUUGGAAAGCGGAAAGUGUGGGUUCGAGUCUCGCCUGGUGCA